AGAUCUAAGAGCAAUCUGGCUGGGUCAUCUGUCAUCCUAUUGAUCGCCAGGGUUGAUUCAGCUAAGGUGGGUGUUUCCUUCCUCCCUCACCACUCCACAUGCAUCCCUCCUGAAGCUGCAUGCUUGGUCAACAAAGACGACCACCAAGGAGGACUGUUUCCUUGGUCGAAGGUAUACAAGUAGCUCCGCUCCCCUGCUAGGACCUCCAAACAAGCUCUCAAGAAAAGUUCCCUGACCUUUCCCAGGUGUAGUGAUUCAUACCUGUAAUACCAGCGCUUCAGAGACUGAGGCAGGAGGAUUUUUGUGAGUUUGAGGCCUGCCUGAAUU
rnacentral:snRNA from 1 species